rnacentral:rRNA from 1 species
UACGGGAGGCAGCAGUGGGGAAUUUUGGACAAUGGGGGAAACCCUGAUGCAGCAAUCCGCGUGGAGGAUGAAGUCCUUCGGG